rnacentral:lncRNA from 1 species
CUGAGAUAUUCUCUGCCAUAAGCUUCUAAGAACUGUGCAUUAAUACUUGUUAUUAGGUAAAGAUCUAAUAAUAUCAUUAAUACUGAAAUAUAAGUGAUUAACAAAAUGUUAUCUUCCACAGGGAUAUUUGCAUUUUAUCAGGCAAACAAAGCCUUAAGCCAAAGAAAUCAGUUUUUCUCACAGAUAUUUUAGUGCAGUCUUCCCUCUGAACUUCUGUCACAUGUGGGAUCCAAUGCUGGACAAGAUCAUGGAGUGACUACUAUUUUUCAUGUUCCCAAAUGCACUUUUGUAAACUACAAAAUAUUAAACAAAAGUGAAUACUCAUUAUCUCUGUGAUCAUAUGAUCAUCUCAAAUUUCUCUGGAGCCAGGAGAAACUGACAGUGGAUAAUCAGAUCAUUGGUGAAGUGGAUUAUAAAAAUGGAUGUUACUUACUGAGGUGUUCCUGAAGUACUCUGUGGCCAUUCUAUGCACUGAGCAACAUGGACUGAGGGACCUCUGGCAUUUCUGUUAAGGCGAGUGUAUGACAUCAGGUCCGUCAUCAGCCUGAAGAAUUUAAACUGAGUUUGGUUGAUUAAAAUAAAGGACUCAAGAGCAAAUGGCUUGAAGGUAGCAGAGACUAUAACCAGCCUGUAACUUUUGGGAAGUGUUAAAAUGGAUGUAUAUUUAAUAUUGUUUUCACUUUUCAU